rnacentral:rRNA from 1 species
GUCAUCUUCGGAUGGCGGACAGCGGCGAACGGGUGAGUAACACGUAGGUUACGUACCCUUUGGUGGGGGAUAGCCCAGGGAAACCUGGAUUAAUACCGCAUAUGUCCACGGAUGAAAGCCUUCGGGCGCCAAAGGAUCGGCCUGCGGCCCAUUAUUUAAUCCUUGAUGGUGAGGUAACGGCUCACCAUGGGUACGAUGGGUAGCUGGUCUGAGAGGAUGAUCAGCCACACUGGGACUGAGACACGGCCCAGACUCCUACGGGAGGCAGCAGUGGGGAAUAUUGGACAAUGGGCGAAAGCCUGAUCCAGUCAUGCCGCGUGAGUGAUGAAGGCCUUCGGGUUGUAAAGCUCUGUCGGGAGGGAAGAAAGCUUCGGCUUGACGGUACCUCGCAAGAAAGCACCGGCUAACUCCGUGCCAGCAGCCGCGGUAAUACGGAGGGUGCAAGCGUUGCUCGGAAUUACUGGGCGUAAAGCGUACGCAGGCGGCCAAUUAAGUCGGAUGUGAAAGCCCUGGGCUCAACCCAGGAACUGCAUU